rnacentral:rRNA from 1 species
UACGGAGGGUGCAAGCGUUGUCCGGAAUCACUGGGCGUAAAGGGCGCGUAGGCGGCUCAUGAAGGCUGUGGUGAAAGUCCGGGGCUCAACCUCGGAUCGGCCGUGGCGACUCGUGGGCUGGAGCACUGUAGAGGCGGGUGGAAUUCCGGGUGUAGCGGUGGAAUGCGUAGAGAUCCGGAAGAACACCAGUGGCGAAGGCGGCCCCCUGGGCCGGCCCUGACACUGAGACGCGAAGGCGUGGGGAGCGAACGGG